rnacentral:rRNA from 1 species
UACGGAGGGUGCAAGCGUUGUCCGGAAUUAUUGGGCGUAAAGAGCUCGUAGGCGGUCUGUCGCGUCGGCUGUGAAAACUCGGGGCUCAACUCCGAGCUUGCAGUCGAUACGGGCAGGCUAGAGUUCGGCAGGGGAGACUGGAAUUCCUGGUGUAGCGGUGAAAUGCGCAGAUAUCAGGAAGAACACCCGUGGCUAAGGCGGCUCUCUAGUACGGUACUGACGCUGAGACGCGAAAGCGUGGGGAGCGAACAGG